CCUACAACUGCCUUUGAACUGUUUAUAUAAUGCCUUCACUAGCUGAAGCAAGUCUUCUGGAGGGCAUUUCUUCAGUUAAAGAAAAGCCAGCUCUGUAAGGCUGACUCUGGGUCUCACUAAUACGGCCAUAUCUGGAGCUAAUUUGUUAAGUUUCAGUUCCUCAGCAUGUGGAACUUUGUGCUAAAGUCUGCUAAAUUUGCCAAAUGUGGUCUUCAUUGUCAUCCAUGUAAUUUUAUAUAUGCAUUUUUCAGCCUUAAAAUUACAGUAUUAACUUUAAAAGUUAGUUGCAAAAUUAUGCAGGCCCGAAUGGAAGUGGGUUUGAAUUUUUUCCCAGUAGCUUUAAAUGUACGUGCGUAGUGGAGGUAGACAGCCUUAAGUGAAAUGACUUACUAGCCUAACCUCUGCAUCUUCAAAGACAGAAGACUUUGAAGCCCAUGCAAGGAAAUGGCAUAUGUGGUAGUAAACUUGGAUGGUAAACAGUCAGAAGUGCAGCUAAAGAAACCUGGACUCUGAUUCCUGGACUGAUUCCCAUAGCUCUGGGAAGAAAAUCUUCAUGUCAGCAGAUAAAAAUAUAUCUCAGGAUACAUGACAAAAGACUAUAAAGGAAGGCUGCUGAAAGGAGCUGAUACGGUGUUACUGUACCCUUGGAAAAGGAGUCCUGCUAACCUGCUGCAAAGACUGAAGCCAUGAAUAUUCACUUUGGUCUCAAGACUAGUCUUUCAGAAGUGAACGUUACAAAAGAAGAUGGACAAAGGGAGAGGAGGAAAGAGAAAAGAAGGACAGGAAGAGUAGAGCUGCAGACUGGAAGUGCAUAUUUGCACGCCCCACCUCCUUGGCAUGUGGGAGAGGGAGUUAGCUCUCCCUCAGUGGGCCCUGCCCCGUGCAGGGGAAGAGCACCACCAGUCUGGUUCCUGAGGGACAGCCUUGCCCCACAGCCCGCACCUUGACAAGACAACUGUCCUGCUCUCUGCCCGUAAUGAGGUUGUGCAGUGCUGUUGUGGACAUUUCUGCCUGGCAGGCCACUGCCUGCAAGCUUUUUUGCAAGAUGUCUAAGCGACAGCCUCAGUGUACUGCCUCAGUUACAUGUGAUAAUACACCAUCUGCCCAUAGGGUAGGACACACACUGAUGUGUUCAUCUGUUCACAAGGUAUAUACUAGCAGCUGGACGCUUGUUAGAUUUGAACCAAACAGUAGGAGGGGCAAUUAGUGGGCUCAAAUCUAGGUUUUGCUCCAAGAGGAGCUUUCCAAUGUUUGCUGCCCUUUUAAUUCUGGACUAUUAUAUUUUAAUGAUAGCAUAAGGAAACAAGAUACAUUUUUUUGUGUGUCUUUUUGUGGGAAAGGAAUUCGCAGGGAGCUUUGUGCUGUUUCACAGGUCCCUGAGUUAAUGAGGAAAACAGCAGUAGAACUAAAAACUUGAGCAAGGUCAAGAUAAAGUAAAUUGGCUACAGUGUUAAAGAUGAGCUUUGGGCAGUGGCCAAUUGCUGGCUGGCUCAAGGCACAUGUCUGAGGGUCUCUAACCAAUUGUAAGACAGAUUCGGGUGCGUGGACAGCGCGUGGGAGUACGGGGAAACUAUAUGUAGUAGUGAAAAAGGGCAAUAAACAUCUCCUGUUCAAGAGCCAUCAGGAGUCCAUGUCA